rnacentral:rRNA from 1 species
GACGAACGCUGGCGGCGUGCUUAACACAUGCAAGUCGAACGGAAAGGCCCCCUUGUGGGGUACUCGAGUGGCGAACGGGUGAGUAACACGUGAGUAACCUACCCUUGCCUUUGGGAUAACUUCAGGAAACUGGGGCUAAUACCGGAUAGGAGCUCCUGCUGCAUGGUGGGGGUUGGAAAGUUUCGGCGGUUGGGGAUGGACUCGCGGCUUAUCAGCUUGUUGGUGGGGUAGUGGCUCACCAAGGCUUUGACGGGUAGCCGGCCUGAGAGGGUGACCGGCCACAUUGGGACUGAGAUACGGCCCAGACUCCUACGGGAGGCAGCAGUGGGGAAUAUUGCACAAUGGGCGGAAGCCUGAUGCAGCAACGCCGCGUGCGGGAUGACGGCCUUCGGGUUGUAAACCGCUUUCGCCUGUGACGAAGCGUGAGUGACGGUAAUGGGUAAAGAAGCACCGGCUAACUACGUG